AGUGAACGCUGGCGGUAGGCCUAACACAUGCAAGUCGAACGGCAGCACAGUAAGAGCUUGCUCUUACUGGUGGCGAGUGGCGGACGGGUGAGGAAUACAUCGGAAUCUACUUUUUCGUGGGGGAUAACGUAGGGAAACUUACGCUAAUACCGCAUACGACCUACGGGUGAAAGCAGAGGAUCUUCGGACCUUUCGCGAUUGAAUGAGCCGAUGUCGGAUUAGCUAGUUGGCGGGGUAAAGGCCCACCAAGGCGACGAUCCGUAGCUGGUCUGAGAGGAUGAUCAGCCACACUGGAACUGAGACACGGUCCAGACUCCUACGGGAGGCAGCAGUGGGGAAUAUUGGACAAUGGGCGCAAGCCUGAUCCAGCCACACCGCGUGGGUGAAGAAGGCCUUCGGGUUGUAAAGCCCUUUUGUUGGGAAAGAAAAGCAGCAGGUUAAUACCCCGCUGUUCUGACGGUACCCAAAGAAUAAGCACCGGCUAACUUCGUG
rnacentral:rRNA from 1 species